UUGAGUUCCUUUUCUGGUUUCUUUCAGUGACAGACUGUGGAUGUGGAAGCGUGCCAAUGGUGUCUGCUUCGACCAGGAGGAUGAAAGAAGCUGUGCACCUGGCUACAUAUGCCAGGGCUGUGGACGAAAUACGGCCACAUGGUCUAGUGCUACCCAACAGAGCUAAGACGGAGAGAAUGCAUCACGUUGGAGUGAUUCAUAAAACCUUCCCAAAGGAA